UGUGUCGAGUUUUACUACCUGCACAAGUCAGAGCUGGGCCGGGCACGGAGGCAGAUGCCACCCGGAGCCUUCAUCACCCGCUUCCCCUGCAAACUCUGUGGCAAGAUCUUCCCCAAAAUCAAGAGCCGUAAUGCCCACAUGAAGAUCCACCGGCAGCAAGGAGGGGGGCCCCAGCUGCUACCCCCCCCCCAUGGCCCCCUGGGCCCCCAGCCAUGGGGGGGGGGCACACAGCAUCCCUCCCCCCCAGUAUGAGGCACCCAGAGUGGGGUGUCCCCCCCACAAACACAAGUGAGGACGGAGCAGGAAUGUUUAUUGUGGAGACAUGGCUCCAGUGGGG